rnacentral:misc_RNA from 1 species
GGCAUCUCCACCAGAUGAACAUGUCUUCUCGACAGUGUACAAAGAUAAGUCAGACACAGGUUCAGUUGAAAGAAUAAUAUAUGCAGCACAUCUUAGGGAAGGAAGUGUCUUGGCAGAAAACAGCAUUGCAUACAAAGAGCUAACUGGCCCUUUACUUAGGCCCCAGAUUUCAACUGAUUUUACUGCCUUCUCUCUUGCAGUUGAAGAGGACUCAACGACAAGUGAAGCCACUAAGUCCCAGAACUGAGAAUGAUCAAGAAUAGACGAUGCUACAAUGAAAGAAGCUUCACUACAAUAAGAACUUGCCAAAGCCUGGGUAGCAGCAGUAGAAAAGAACAACCGAAGAACAGCUUCGAUAAUUCGGUGUUUGGCCAUCUCCCAUCUGUCAAUUUUCAAGGGAUUAGAAACAUCAACAGGCUCUUUUGCUUCAAUACCACUUAUAUUGCAAAAUGAAGAAAAUCCAAUUAGAGCAUUGCUUCCGAGUAAAAUUGGAGAAGAGUCCACUGAAACGGUAUCGUUGAUCCUCUUCAGCAUAACUUGCAAAAGUUCACAACUAGAACCAUCCGUAAUAACACCAUUCACAUUCUCAGCAACUUCCUCCAUCACAACAACUGCUGCUUCAAUCCACCACCUAAAACGGUAUAGAACAAACUCCCAAUCAUCCUCACUAAAGUCUUCCCAGCAAUAAGCAACUGCAACCAAAAUCAUUUUUGAUAACAAAAUCUGCACAACUGGCAGCUUGUUUAUAACAGAUAAUGCUGAAUUCUUUCUCUGCUUC